rnacentral:rRNA from 1 species
AGUGAACGCUGGCGGUAGGCCUAACACAUGCAAGUCGAACGGCGGCACAGUAAGAGCUUGCUCUUACGGGUGGCGAGUGGCGGACGGGUGAGGAAUACAUCGGAAUCUACUUUUUCGUGGGGGAUAACGUAGGGAAACUUACGCUAAUACCGCAUACGACCUACGGGUGAAAGCAGGGGAUCUUCGGACCUUGCGCGAUUGAAUGAGCCGAUGUCGGAUUAGCUAGUUGGCGGGGUAAAGGCCCACCAAGGCGACGAUCCGUAGCUGGUCUGAGAGGAUGAUCAGCCACACUGGAACUGGGACCCGGUCCAGACUCCUACGGGGGGGAGCAGGGGGGAAUUUUGGACAAGGGGGGAAAUCCUGAUCCCGACCUACCCGGUGGGUGAAAAAGGCCUUCGGGUUUUAAAGCCCUUUUGUUGGGAAAAAAAAGGAGCCGGGUAAAACCCCGCUGUUCUGACGGUACCCAAAGAAUAAGCACCGGCUAACUUCGUG